UUAACACCAGUUCCCGUACAAUCACCGAAAUUAAGCAACAUCGAGCCCGGUCAAUACCAAGAUGGGUGACCGUUUGGGAAUACCCA